rnacentral:tmRNA from 1 species
GGGGUUGACUGGAAUUGACAGUAUGAUAGAUUAUAUUUUUGCAUGUCGGGUGAUGGUAAACAUCCGUAAUCAAAUACUAAAAUUUAUAAACGGCGAACGUAAUUACGAAUACGCUAUGGCGGUUUAAAUUCUAAGAAUUUAAAAAGUCACAUCAAAAUUAGUUGGUGAUCUUUGACUAAUUAAUAUGAUGUCAUAAAGAGAUCUACCUUUAAGAUAAUUCUAUGGGUCUAAUUGGGAAAUUUAAUAGAUAAGGAUAGAUUUUGGUUGAUAUUUUCCUAUUCUAUUUCGAAAAUUAAUAAUUAUCUAAGCAUGUAGACGAAAUAUGGUUUCCAUAUCUGGACGCGGGUUCGAAUCCCGCCAACUCCACAU